rnacentral:rRNA from 1 species
AUGAAUAUGGAGGUCAUUAAGCUCGAUACUGAUUCUGAUAUCGAACUAUCGGGUGUGUUGACCGACGAGCAAGGGAGAGUUCAAGCACUAUGGGCAAGUAUUUCCAGCCAGCUCUUUGGUUGUGGCAAAGAAGGGGGCCAUCAAUUUGUUGUAGGUAUACCAAUAUACCUGAUAAGUCAAGUCCUUGAGAAGAUAAUCUCUGGUGCUCCUGGACCAUUUCGUCUUAUCAAUGGAAUUAGGAGACCAAUGCCAUUUGUCAGACUUCUGGAGGUGGAGAUUUAUCCAACUUUGCUCGCAGAGGCAAGUAGUUAUGGAUUGAGCGAUAGAUGGGUGCAGGCUCUAGCUAGGAAGGACCCUGAGCGAAGACAAGUAUUGCAAGUUAUUGGUUGCUUUGCUGGAUCGAAAGCGGAAACUCUUCUUGAAGGGGAUAUGAUUCUUGCUAUCGAUAAGAAGCCUAUUACAUGCUUCCUUGACAUUGAGAAUGCUUGCCAAAAGCUGGACCAUUCGGUUGGUUCAGAUGGAAUGCUUAACAUGACAAUAUUUCGCCAGGGAAAAGAAAUAGACCUUAUCGUUGGAACAGAUGUAAGAGACGGUAAUGGUACAACACGUAUGGUGAACUGGUGUGGAUGCAUAGUUCAGAAUCCUCAUUCGGCUGUACGUGCACUUGGUUUCUUGCCAAAGGAAGGCCAUGGAGUUUACGUUUCUAGAGGUUAUGCUGGAAGUCCCAUCCAUAGAUAUGGUCUCUACCCUCUCCAGUGGAUAGUUGAGGUUAACGGGCAACCAACUCCAGAUCUGGAAUCCUUCAUAGAGACGGUGAAGGGAUUGGAAGACGGUGAAUUUUGUAGGGUGAGGACCGUGAAGUUGAAUGGAAAAUCUUGGGUCCUUGCUCUCAAACAGGACCUUCACUACUGGCCAACCUGGGAGCUCAACUUUGAGCCGGAGACUGCAACAUGGCAGAGGAGGACAAUAAAAACAUUGCAACGUGUGAUCCAUUCUAUUGGUAACUAG